rnacentral:lncRNA from 1 species
AUGCCUCGCCCUGCUUCGGCUCGCGCACGGUGCGCGCACCCACUGACCUGCGCCCACUGUCUGGCGCUCCCUAGUGAGAUGAACCCGGUACCUCAGAUGGAAAUGCAGAAAUCACCCGUCUUCUGCGUCGCUCAGGCUGGGAGCUGUAGACCGGAGCUGUUCCUAUUCAGCCAUCUUGGCUCCCAGUUGUGUCGUUUUAAAACUUUGAAUAUAUCAUCUCACUCCUUCCUGGCCCACAAGGUUUUUGCUGAGAAGUCUCCUGACAUCCUUAUGGGUCUGGAAAUAACUGGGAAAGAAAAGCCUUGUUGAAAGAAGACAUCUCCAGUUCUUGAGGCUGGGAAGUCCAAGAUCAAGAUACUGGCAGUUCUAGUAUCUGGGAAAACAUGCUGCUUCUUCAAAGACUCCAGUUUCAGAUGGCAAAAUGCAUGGAAGCUGAGAUGGACCUUCUGGAGUUUUCGAUAAACCACUGUAGCUCAGUCAGAGGUCCAAUUAUGAUGAUACCCACACAG